rnacentral:lncRNA from 1 species
CAAGUCUCACCACCAAACAUGGGUUACUUGAGUACUAACCAAGUUGAAAAAUUUAUUACCCCUAUAUUUUGACACCAGUCUUCAUUUGGGGGUUAAAAGAGUGCAUUGCAGCCCAUAAGUCUAACAAAACCAAGUUGUUGAAGAUUUCUCAAAUCUGGACACCAAGCACCAACUUUGCCAAGUUUUACCACCAAAAAUGACUUGUUUGAAAAACCUCAAAGAGAACCGCUCCGGCAAUCGACCAACGAUUCGCGAGCUUCUCCUAUUCACGAGACUAGGCAGAGCACCUUGCUAACUAGAAGAGAACCGCUCC